rnacentral:rRNA from 1 species
AACGGCUCAUUAAAUCAGUCUUGGUUUAUUUGGUCCUUGCGAGAGCUAACGUGGAUAACUGUGGCAAUUCCAGAGCUAAUACAUGCGACCGAGCGCCGACUCCGGGAGGCGCGCUUUUAUUGGUUCGAACCCGACCGGGCCUUCGCGGGCCCGUCUCUUUCGAUGACUCUGGAUAACCACGCGGAUCGCACGCCUUCGCGGCGGCGACCUACCAUUCAAGUGUCUGACCUAUCAACUUUCGAAGGUAGGCUACGGGCUUACCUUUGUGAUAACGGGUGACGGGGAAUCAGGGUUCGAUUCCGGAGGCGGGAGCCUGAGAAACGGCUACCACAUCCAAGGAAGGCAGCAGGCGCGCAAAUUACCCAUUCCCGACACGGGGAGGUAGUGACGAAAAAUACCGAUGCGGGACUCUAACGAGGCCCCGCAAUCGGAAUGAGUACAUUCUAAAACUCUUGUCGAGUAUCCAUCGGAGGGCAAGUCUGGUGCCAGCAGCCGCGGUAAUUCCAGCUCCGAAAGUGUAUGCUAAAGUUGUUGCGGUUGAAAAGCUCGUAGUUGGAUGAAGAGCGCGCGGCGCCGGUCCGUCCGUCGAAGGGCGUGCACCGGCGUCGAGAGUUCCGCCUGUCGGCGCUUCCCGGGUGUUCUUGAUCGGGUGCACGGGGUGACCGACGAGUUUACUUUGAAAAAAUUAGAGUGUUCAAAGCAGGUUUUUCGCCUGCAUAGUGUUGCAUGGAAUAAUGGAAUAGGACCUCGGUCUCGUUUCGUUGGCGUUCGCGAGUGCGAGGUAAUGAUUGAGAGGGACAGCCGGGGGCGUCC